CCUAGGUAUGUUGUCUCUAGUCAUUAAAUGCAAAGGUGAAGUUGUUCUUUCAUGGCAGGUGGGCCAAUUAGCAUCUUUAAAAGGUGCUAUCAUUAUGAUAACAAAAAAAACCCCCAGGUUUGCUGAUGAAUAAAGAUUUCAUCUCAAAAAGCAUUUUGAAAACAUGGACUAAUUAAUCUGACUCAGAAUGCUCAAAUAAAAAUAUGUUCUCUGCUCUUAGACCUCUAGCUUAACAGAAGUACAUUGAGAAACAAAGAGGGAUAAACAGGAAAAUUAUAUUUCCCCUUUGCCAGUUGUCAUCCAGUUGCAAUACAGCUUUUCAAUGGCUAUUUGUGUCAGAAAGAAGACAACCUAUAUUUUACCAUGGAAAACACAUAUUUUUUAAAAAAAUAGUUACACUUUUAUAUCUGGAAACAUCGUCAAAUAGACAACCUGAAACUCUCCUAACAAAAACACCUCAUAGUGCUAGUUAUAUCUUUUGAAAGCAUAACUUAGAUUAUCAGUAAAUAAGGGAAGACACUGGAUGCCCAGAGAGCUAUAAAAGAGUGUGUCAAUAUCGUCAAACUGUGCAAGUCCUAGAGUGGGUGCUUCUUGCCUUGGUAACCUAGGGUGCUAGGCUUACACACUGGCUCAGGAGAAAAUGGGCUCGUAUGAAACAAAAGAUUGUAGCUGAGACCAUUGUGUAAAGCCUGAACCCUUCAAAAAAACCUUAAAACUUCAGAAGGUUUCUAGCUUCAGGAGGGCUAAAUCCAGUUGUGCAAAUAAUGCCGUCAGGAAAUUGCCUAGUUCUCUCUCUUUCUCAGCUCUGUCUUCCUCACUUUGGGAUUUACUCUCAGGAAACCAUUUCUAAUUGAUGGUUAACAUGGUCACCAGAAUUUCCAGGUUUACCUCACUCUCACAGAUAGAGAUCACAAUCACAGAGAACAUAAAUUCCUUUUUCCUGAGAGUUUCAGCAAACGUUGACAUUCUCUGACCUGCUGACAUCAAGUGUUGAUCCCUCAGCUGAUCCUGUGACCCAAGGAUGGAGUUCUCUUCCUGUGUGUCCUCCCUGAUCCAAGGGGAUGAAGUUCUAUCAAACCGUAUGAACCAAGAGUUAAGGAAAUAAGGAAAGGCAUGGUUCUA
rnacentral:lncRNA from 10 species